rnacentral:rRNA from 1 species
UACAGAGGUCUCAACCGUUGUUCGGAUUCAUUGGGCGUAAAGGGUGCGUAGGCGGCGGGGUAAGUCAGGUGUGAAAUCUCGGGGCUCAACUCCGGAUCUGCGGUGGGUACGGGCAGACUAGAGUGAUGUAGGGGAGACUGGAAUUCCUGGUGUAGUGGUGAAAUGCGUAGAUAUCGGGAGGAACACCAGUGGCGAAGGCGGAUCUCUGGGCCGUAACUGACGCUGAGGAGCGAAAGCAUGGGGAGCGAACAGG